UACACAGGUUAAGAAUUCAAAUAGGUCAUAAUGAGGAUGGUUUUUCCCUGCUCCAUGAUACCUGGGGCCUAAGAGGGAUGACUCCAAGCCUGGAGGCUAAAAUUAUUUGGUUCUCAUUUCUUCAAAAGAAUGCUGGCUUGCAGUGGGAAUGAAGGGCCUCAUUUACUUUCUACCUGGGCCCCUACCUGUGAACUCACCAUGCCCCCUCCCUAACAGGAUGGUGCUUGGAUUCCAAGGGCUCACCUCUCAUGUUUACAUACAUCAUGAGUGGCAUCAAGUCAUAUCCUUGACUUUAGGAUAUCUGAACCUUUGGAAAUUGUAACUAGAAGUCUUAAAACAUUAGCUACGUAUUGAUUCUCUCACCUUCAGAAAAAUGGAAUGUCCUCUUUCAUAAGAGGUGGAGUUUUCCCAUGUUGCCCAUGCUGGUCUGGAAC